rnacentral:rRNA from 1 species
UACGAAGGGGGCUAGCGUUGCUCGGAUUCACUGGGCGUAAAGGGUGCGUAGGUGGCUGGGAAAGUUUGAUGUGAAAGCUCAGGGCUUAACCCUGAAAUGGCAUUGAAUACUGCCUGGCUGGAGGUUUGGAGGGGGGACUGGAAUUCUUGGUGUAGCAGUGAAAUGCGUAGAUAUCAAGAGGAACACCAGUGGCGAAGGCGGCUCACUGGCCCGAUACUGACGCUGAGGCACGAAAGCGUGGGGAGCAAACAGG